CCUACGGGCGGCAGCAGUGAGGAAUAUUGGUCAAUGGACGAGAGUCUGAACCAGCCAAGUAGCGCGAAGGAUGACUGCCCUAUGGGUUGUAAACUUCUUUUAUAUGGGAAUAAAACGUUCCACGUGUGGGAUUUUGUAUGUACCAUAUGAAUAAGGAUCGGCUAACUCCGUGCCAGCAGCCGCGGUAAUACGGAGGAUCCGAGCGUUAUCCGGAUUUAUUGGGUUUAAAGGGAGCGUAGGUGGAUUGUUAAGUCAGUUGUGAAAGUUUGCGGCUCAACCGUAAAAUUGCAGUUGAAACUGGCAGUCUUGAGUACAGUAGAGGUGGGCGGAAGUCGUGGUGUAGCGGUGAAAUGCUUAGAUAUCACGAAGAACUCCGAUUGCGAAGGCAGUUCACUGGACUGCAACUGACACUGAGGCUCGAAAGUGUGGGUAUCAAACAGGAUUAGAUACCCUUGUAGUC
rnacentral:rRNA from 1 species